AUGGCCGCGGCCACCAUCGUCCACGACACGUCUGAGGCGGUGGAGCUGUGCCCGACCUACGGCCUGUACCUGAAGCCCAUCACCAAGAUGACCAUCAGCGUGGCGCUGCCGCAGCUGAAGCAGCCGGGCAAGUCCAUCUCCAACUGGGAGGUGAUGGAGCGGCUGAAGGGCAUGGUGCACAACCACCAGUUCUCCACGCUGCGCAUCUCCAAGAGCACCAUGGACUUCAUCCGCUUCGAGGGCGAGGUGGAGAACAAGAGCCUGGUCAAGGCCUUCCUGGCCUGCCUGGACGGCAAGACCAUCAAGCUCAGCGGCUUCUCCGACAUCCUCAAGGUGCGCGCGGCCGAGUUCAAGAUCGACUUCCCCACCCGCCACGACUGGGACUCCUUCUUCCGAGACGCCAAGGACAUGAACGAGACGCUGCCCGGGGAGCGGCCCGACACCAUCCACCUGGAGGGGCUGCCCUGCAAGUGGUUCGCGCUGAAGGAGUCGGGCUCCGAGAAGCCCAGCGAGGAGGUGCUGGUCAGGGUGUUCGAGCGCUUCGGGGAGAUCCGCAACGUGGACAUCCCCAUGCUGGACCCCUACCGCGAGGAGAUGACGGGCCGCAACUUCCACACCUUCAGCUUCGGGGGCCACCUGAACUUCGAGGCCUACGUGCAGUACCGCGAGUACGUGGGCUUCAUCCAGGCCAUGAGCGCCCUGCGCGGCAUGAAGCUCAUGUACAAGGGCGAGGACGGCAAGGCCGUGGCCUGCAACAUCAAGGUUUCUUUCGAUUCCACCAAACACCUGAGCGAUGCCUCCAUCAAGAAGCGGCAGCUGGAGCGGCAGAAACUUCAGGAGCUGGAGCAGCAGCGGGAGGAGCAGAAGCGCCGGGAGAAGGAGGCGGAGGAGAGGCAGAGGGCCGAGGAGAGGAAGCAGAAGGAGCUGGAGGAGCUGGAGCGGGAGCGGAAGCGGGAGGAGAAGCUGCGCCGGCGCGAGCAGAAGCAGAGAGACCGCGAGCUGCGGCGCAGCCAGAAGAAGCUGGAGAAGCUGCAGGCCGAGGAGCAGCGGAAGCUGCAGGAGAAGAUCCGGCUGGAGGAGCGCAAGCUGCUGCUGGCCCAGCGCAACCUGCAGUCCAUCCGGCUCAUCGCGGAGCUGCUGAGCCGCGCCAAGGCGCUGAAGGUGCAGCAGCAGGAGCAGAAGGCGGAGACGCAGCGGCUGCAGCAGCUGGAAGAACGGCGGCGGCUGCAGGAGGCAGAGCUGCGGCGCGUGGAGGAGGAGAAGGAGCGCGCCCUGGGGCUGCAGCGCAAGGAGCGGGAGCUGCGCCAGCGCCUGCUCAGCAUCCUGCUGGGCAAGAAGGCCGACGACCCCCGCGGCCCCGACGAGCCGGGUGUCUCGCGCGCGGCCCUGCUGCAGCCCGUGCUGGCCAUGCUGCACACGGUGUCGGCCGGCUGCGUGGGCGCAGGUGCCGCUGCACUGCAGCCCCCCGCCGGCCCAGCGCCCGGCGCCCCCAGGGAGACCCCGCCCCAGCCGGCGGCCGAAGGUGGCCCCCAGAACGUGAACGGGAGCGUCGUGGAGGAGGCCUUGGGCACGGAGAGCCAGCAUCCUCGCCUGGCGGCCCCCGACGACGGCCCUCCCGAGAAGAGGUGCCCCGGCGUCCUGGCCUGCAUCCCCGACAACAGCCAGCAGCCUCGGGCGGUGCCCGCCGCCUGCGACCAGAGCGCGCCCCGGAAGGACGUCCGCUCCGAGCAGGACAAGUGCAACCGCGAGCCCAGCGGCGGCCGGGGCCGGGCCAGCGCGGAGCGCAGCGGCGACGACCGGCAGGCUCGGGCCAGGAGCCGGACGCGGCGCGCCGCCAGCCGGGAGGACGGCCGGCCGCGGAAGGAGCGGCGGCCGCACAAGAAGCGCUCGCACCAGGACGGCAGCCCGCACCGGCGCAGCGCCAGCUCCGAGCGGGGCCGCUCGCGCAGGUCCCACAGCAGAGACCGGCACGGCCGGCGGGAGCGCAGCCGGGACCGCAGGGGCAGCUCCAGCCGAAAGCGCAGCCGCCACCGCCGCACCGAGAGGUCGCGCUCCGGGUCCCCCAGCCAGCACCGCAGCGCCUGGAACAGGUAA
rnacentral:lncRNA from 1 species